rnacentral:tRNA from 1 species
GGGGCUGGGGCUCAGUGGUAGAGCACUUGCCAAGCAUGUGUACUAUACUGGAUUCGACCAGUAUAUUACACAUUUAUAUAAAUAAAUGAAUAAAGUAAAGGUCCAUCAAUAUCUAAAAACAUAUAUUUUUUUAAUAUUUAUUUUUUAGUUGUAGUUGGACACAACACCUUUAUUUCACUUGUUUUAAUUUUUGUACGGGGUGCUGAGGAUCGAACCCAGGGUCUCG